GGCGUGAUGGCAGAGUGGUCUAAUGCGAUAGACUCGAACGGGCUCAAUAGCUCCGCUUAGUAAUCUAUUCUCUUCGGAGGCCCAGGUUCAAAUCCUGGUCACGUCG